CAUCACUACACCGCCACUACUACACCGCCACUACCCAGUCACUAGCAUAGCCACCACUACCCAGUCACUAGCAUAGCCACCACUACCCAGUCACUAGCAUAGCCACCACUACACCAUCACUAGCAUAGCCACCACUACCCAGUCACUAGCAUAGCCACCACUACACCAUCACUAGCAUAGCCACCACUACACCAUCACUAGCAUAGCCACCACUACACCAUCACUAGCAUAGCCACCACUACCCAGUCCCUAGCAUAGCCACCACUACCCAGUCCCUAGCAUAGCCACCACUACCCAGUCCCUAGCAUAGCCACCACUACCCAGUCCCUAGCAUAGCCACCACUACCCAGUCCCUAGCAUAGCCACCACUACCCAGUCCCUAGCAUAGCCAC